rnacentral:rRNA from 1 species
UAGUGAACCAGUACCGUGAGGGAAAGGCGAAAAGAACCCCGGCGAGGGGAGUGAAAAAGAACCUGAAACCGUGUACGUACAAGCAGUGGGAGCACAGGUUUACCUGUGUGACUGCGUACCUUUUGUAUAAUGGGUCAGCGACUUAUAUUCUGUAGCAAGGUUAACCGAAUAGGGGAGCCGGAGGGAAACCGAGUCUUAAUUGGGCGUUAAGUUGCAGGGUAUAGACCCGAAACCCGGUGAUCUAGCCAUGGGCAGGUUGAAGGUUGGGUAACACUAACUGGAGGACCGAACCGACUAAUGUUGAAAAAUUAGCGGAUGACCUGUGGCUGGGGGUGAAAGGCCAAUCAAACCGGGAGAUAGCUGGUUCUCCCCGAAAGCUAUUUAGGUAGCGCCUCGUGAAUUCAUCUCCGGGGGUAGAGCACUGUUUCGGCUAGGGGGCCAUCCCGGCUUACCAACCCGAUGCAAACUGCGAAUACCGGAGAAUGUUAUCACGGGAGACACACGGCGGGUGCUAACGUCCGUCGUGAAGAGGGAAACAACCCAGACCGCCAGCUAAGGUCCCAAAGUCAUGGUUAAGUGGGAAACGAUGUGGGAAGGCCCAGACAGCCAGGAUGUUGGCUUAGAAGCAGCCAUCAUUUAAAGAAAGCGUAAUAGCUCACUGGUCGAGUCGGCCUGCGCGGAAGAUGUAACGGGGCUAAACCAUGCACCGAAGCUGCGGCAGCGACGCUGAUGCGUUGUUGGGUAGGGGAGCGUUCUGUAAGCCUGCGAAGGUGGCCUGUGAGGGUUGCUGGAGGUAUCAGAAGUGCGAAUGCUGACAUAAGUAACGAUAAAGCGGGUGAAAAGCCCGCUCGCCGGAAGACCAAGGGUUCCUGUCCAACGUUAAUCGGGGCAGGGUGAGUCGACCCCUAAGGCGAGGCCGAAAGGCGUAGUCGAUGGGAAACGGGUUAAUAUUCCCGUACUUGGUGUUACUGCGAAGGGGGGACGGAGAAGGCUAUGUUGGCCGGGCGACGGUUGUCCCGGUUUAAGCGUGUAGGUGUGUGUUCCAGGUAAAUCCGGUUCACUUUAACACUGAGGCGUGAUGACGAGGCACUACGGUGCUGAAGCAACAAAUGCCCUGCUUCCAGGAAAAGCCUCUAAGCAUCAGGUAACAUCAAAUCGUACCCCAAACCGACACAGGUGGUCAGGUAGAGAAUACCAAGGCGCUUGAGAGAACUCGGGUGAAGGAACUAGGCAAAAUGGUGCCGUAACUUCGGGAGAAGGCACGCUGACACGUAGGUGAAGUGAUUUACUCAUGGAGCUGAAGUCAGUCGAAGAUACCAGCUGGCUGCAACUGUUUAUUAAAAACACAGCACUGUGCAAACACGAAAGUGGACGUAUACGGUGUGACGCCUGCCCGGUGCCGGAAGGUUAAUUGAUGGGGUCAGCGCAAGCGAAGCUCCUGAUCGAAGCCCCGGUAAACGGCGGCCGUAACUAUAACGGUCCUAAGGUAGCGAAAUUCCUUGUCGGGUAAGUUCCGACCUGCACGAAUGGCGUAAUGAUGGCCAGGCUGUCUCCACCCGAGACUCAGUGAAAUUGAACUCGCUGUGAAGAUGCAGUGUACCCGCGGCAAGACGGAAAGACCCCGUGAACCUUUACUAUAGCUUGACACUGAACAUUGAGCCUUGAUGUGUAGGAUAGGUGGGAGGCUUUGAAGUGUGGACGCCAGUCUGCAUGGAGCCGACCUUGAAAUACCACCCUUUAAUGUUUGAUGUUCUAACGUGGACCCGUGAUCCGGGUUGCGGACAGUGUCUGGUGGGUAGUUUGACUGGGGCGGUCUCCUCCUAAAGAGUAACGGAGGAGCACGAAGGUUGGCUAAUCCUGGUCGGACAUCAGGAGGUUAGUGCAAUGGCAUAAGCCAGCUUGACUGCGAGCGUGACGGCGCGAGCAGGUGCGAAAGCAGGUCAUAGUGAUCCGGUGGUUCUGAAUGGAAGGGCCAUCGCUCAACGGAUAAAAGGUACUCCGGGGAUAACAGGCUGAUACCGCCCAAGAGUUCAUAUCGACGGCGGUGUUUGGCACCUCGAUGUCGGCUCAUCACAUCCUGGGGCUGAAGUAGGUCCCAAGGGUAUGGCUGUUCGCCAUUUAAAGUGGUACGCGAGCUGGGUUUAGAACGUCGUGAGACAGUUCGGUCCCUAUCUGCCGUGGGCGCUGGAGAACUGAGGGGGGCUGCUCCUAGUACGAGAGGACCGGAGUGGACGCAUCACUGGUGUUCGGGUUGUCAUGCCAAUGGCACUGCCCGGUAGCUAAAUGCGGAAGAGAUAAGUGCUGAAAGCAUCUAAGCACGAAACUUGCCCCGA